rnacentral:tRNA from 1 species
GGCUUGUUGGUCUAGGGGUAUAAAUCUCGCUUCGGGUGUGAGAGGUCCCGGGUUCAAAUCCCAGACGAGCCC